rnacentral:tRNA from 1 species
GUUUUUGUAGUUUAAAUUUAAAGCACAGCACUGAAAAUGCUGAGAUGAAAAAUUUACCUUUCCAUUAACA